ACCUGCGCUGGGACGAGGGGCCGCUGUACUUGCGCUACGGCGGUUUCGCCCCGCGGUUCUGCUUCUCGCGCGAGGGC
rnacentral:tRNA from 1 species